rnacentral:rRNA from 1 species
UACGAAGGGGGCUAGCGUUGCUCGGAAUCACUGGGCGUAAAGCGCACGUAGGCGGCUCUUUAAGUCAGGGGUGAAAUCCUGGAGCUCAACUCCAGAACUGCCUUUGAUACUGGAGAGCUUGAGUCCGGAAGAGGUGAGUGGAACUCCGAGUGUAGAGGUGAAAUUCGUAGAUAUUCGGAAGAACACCAGUGGCGAAGGCGGCUCACUGGUCCGAUACUGACGCUGAGGUGCGAAAGCGUGGGGAGCAAACAGG